rnacentral:rRNA from 1 species
UUUCGCAAUGCCCGAAAGGGUGACGAAGCGACGCCGCGUGAGUGAGGAAGGCCUUCGGGUUGUAAAGCUCUGUCAGGAGUUAAGAAAUAUAAAUGUGUUAAUACCAUAUUUAUUUGACGAAGGCUCCAAAGGAAGCCACGGCUAACUCUGUGCCAGCAGCCGCGGUAAUACAGAGGUGGCAAGCGUUGUUCGGAAUUAUUGGGCGUAAAGAGCACGUAGGUGGGUUUGUAAGUCAGAUGUGAAAGCCUUCUGUUCAACGGAAGAAUUGCAUCUGAAACUGCGAGUCUUGAGUGUAGGAGGGGAGAAUGGAACUUCUGGUGGAGCGGUGAAAUGCGUAGAUAUCAGAAGGAACGCCGGCGGCGAAAGCGAUUCUCUGGCCUAUUACUGACACUCAGUGUGCGAAAGCUAGGGGAGCAAACGGGAUUAGAUACCCCGGUAGUCCUAGCCGUAAACGAUGGGCACUAAGUAGAGGGGUUUUA